AGAGUUUGAUCAUGGCUCAGAAUGAACGCUGGCGGCGCGCCUAAUACAUGCAAGUCGAGCGAGAAGACGUAGCAAUACGUUUGUAAAGCGGCGAACGGGUGAGGAAUACAUGGGUAACCUACCCUUGAGUGGGGAAUAACUAGCCGAAAGGUUAGCUAAUACCGCGUACGCUCCUUGGACUUCGGUUCAGGGAGGAAAGCGCUACCGUGGGUAGCGCGCUCUUGGAUGGGCUCAUGUCCUAUCAGCUAGUUGGUGAGGUAACGGCUCACCAAGGCUUCGACGGGUAGCUGGUCUGAGAGGACGAUCAGCCACACUGGCACUGCGACACGGGCCAGACUCCUACGGGAGGCAGCAGUAAGGAAUAUUGCGCAAUGGGCGAAAGCCUGACGCAGCGACGCCGCGUGGGGGAUGAAGGUCUUCGGAUUGUAAACCCCUUUCGGGAGGGAAGAUGGAAUGGGGUAACCCAUUUGGACCGUACUCCGAAGNGCCCGAUCG
rnacentral:rRNA from 1 species